rnacentral:rRNA from 1 species
UGGCUCAGAUUGAACGCUGGCGGCAGGCCUAACACAUGCAAGUCGAACGGUAGCACAGAGAGCUUGCUCUCGGGUGACGAGUGGCGGACGGGUGAGUAAUGUCUGGGAAACUGCCCGAUGGAGGGGGAUAACUACUGGAAACGGUAGCUAAUACCGCAUAACGUCUUCGGACCAAAGUGGGGGACCUUCGGGCCUCACACCAUCGGAUGUGCCCAGAUGGGAUUAGCUAGUAGGUGGGGUAAUGGCUCACCUAGGCGACGAUCCCUAGCUGGUCUGAGAGGAUGACCAGCCACACUGGAACUGAGACACGGUCCAGACUCCUACGGGAGGCAGCAGUGGGGAAUAUUGCACAAUGGGCGCAAGCCUGAUGCAGCCAUGCCGCGUGUAUGAAGAAGGCCUUCGGG